UCGCUUGCAUGUACACAAUGGCGAUCGAACAAGAGGCAAAAAUACACACAUUUAAGGCAUUAUUUCUCGAGUUAAAUUUGAAUUGGAAACCUAGGAUUUCGCGAGAGAGGUGUUGAACGUCUUCGCUGCUUACUCAAAUGUUCUACGGAUAAUGAGCAAAAUAACGAAAGUGAAGAAGAUUUCCAGGAAUUCCCCUUUUGAUUACAAGACAGAAAUUGUUAUGACGUUAUAUCCGGUUAUGUAUAAUUGUUGAGUGCAAUAACAGGAACUCGAAAGUAGCUUCCGCAACUCUGCUACUACAAAGUAUUUGCACUUGAAGUAGCUAAUUUUUAUACUAUGUGGAAAGUUUUGUUUCAAUGAAUUAUUGUCAUUUUGGCGUCCUGCAAAAACAUUCCAUCCUUCAUGAGUAAAUUGGUCUUACAAGUGUGCUACUUUCAAAUAUUUUCUAUCUUUCUUUUAACAAAAACGAAAGUCGAUGCUACCAAUUAUAUCAGUAUAAUUGACGAUUAUUUACCAUUCCUAUUUUGUGGUGAUGGUUGAACUCCGCUUAAUUAUUCUUUUCGAUACAUUGUACUCUAUGUCUAUGAUGCUAAUUUAGAUUCCAGUUUAGUUCAUGACAUGAUAAAGUUGCAACUGGUUUUGUGAAUCUUGCCCGUCGCCCAGGCAAUAUUCCUUUGAUUAUGUCGAAUGGAUGCAGCAACUCAAGCCUGACGAAUAACGAAGUUUAUUCUCUUGCAAUGUUUACCUCAUACAUAUAUUGCUCACUCCCUCAAACUAUAUCUUCAACCCAUUCACAACAAAACAUCACUCAAAAUUUUUCUAAGUCUACGGUGGCCCGUAUCUGCAAUUCACAAUUUAAUUUGUCAAUGCACAAACAUUGCCUUAAAUUCAAAAUCAAUGUGUUUGAUACAAAAAUAAUGUGCUGAAUGCACAAAAAAUUUGCCACGAUGCAAAUUAAAAUAAAAGUUAUAAAAAAAUUAAAUAUUGCAAUGCAAAAUAAAACUGACCAAAUGCACAAAACCAGUUAUCGCAAUGCAAAAUCAAAGUUCAAUAAGAAAGCCUACCGGUCAUAUCUACGGGAGACUGGGAACAAGAAAUCUUAACCGGGGGGUAACAAUAAAAGGAUUUUUGUUUAUUGCCUUGUAGAUUUAAAUUAAUACCAACAACCAGCUCCUAAAGGCGAAGACGAUUUAAUUAAGAACUAUUUCACGCAAAGUUUUGCAUAUGAAAAAUCCUGCUUCUCUUAAGACGAUAUCAUGAUAUUGAUAUGUCUUUGCGAACUUUACACCCAAGACUUCGAUCGCUUGGCUUACGAAGAAAAAACAUUGAGUUUGAUUUCAACAGUGUGUCGGAACGACUUAGAGCACAUAAAGGCAUGGCACAACACAUUUUCAUAUUUGACCCAGAUGAUAAACUGGAUGUGAAAAAGCUGCUUAAAAUUUUAAAACCAAAUUUACCACCAACAGGAAAUAUAAGGAGGCAAUCAGAGGAAAUGGUGAUGCAAAAUUUAUUUUAUUUCUAAAAGCCGCAGAAGGAGGUACAUUAUUGCAAGAAUUGGCUGACGAAGAAAUUGAGCUUACAGAAGAAGAAAAAAAGUAUAUCCAUUGGUAACACCAAGCCACAUGUUAAUGUUUACAACUGGUGCUGCAAAUGUCCCUUCAACUGGCUUUGAACCAAAAAUUUCAAUUGUUUUUGUUUGUGAUGACAAGAAAAUGAUUCCAAGUGCACAGACAUGCUCUAACACCCUUAAUAUUUAUGUAAAUGAACACACACAAAAGGGCAAGCUAUUGCACUAUCUCUGAAUGGAGCCAUUUUUUUCAAAACUAUAAAAAAGUUUGUGCAACUGAAACAGCCUUAACAUUAAUAUUAUUUAACAUUUGUGAGCAUUCAACAUUUAUUAAGCAAGUAAUUGUGUUCAUAUUAUGGGCAGUCAUGCUUUUUGUCUUUUUUACACUUUUUACAGCUAUUGAAAAAUUUGUUAACUGAAUAAACUUUGUGCAUUUUUAUGUAGUUUUAACUGAAA